rnacentral:rRNA from 1 species
UACGUAGGGGGCAAGCGUUGUCCGGAUUUAUUGGGCGUAAAGAGCGUGUAGGCGGCCAGACAGGUCAGCUGUGAAAACUCGAGGCUCAACCUCGAGACGUCGGUUGAAACCGUCUGGCUAGAGUCCGGAAGAGGAGAGUGGAAUUCCCGGUGUAGAGGUGAAAUUCGUAGAUAUCGGGAGGAACACCGGUGGCGAAGGCGGCGACCUGGGUAGAUACUGACGCUGAGGUGCGAAAGCGUGGGGAGCAAACAGG